UGAAUGCUCCCUCUGUCCGGAAUUACUUGUCGCAGAGAUGGAUGUAUCUAGCCGUGUCUUUCAGUUCUAGAUACGUCCAUUUCUAUCCAUUUCUGCGUCAAGUAACUCGCGGCGGAGGGAGUACUUA
rnacentral:pre_miRNA from 1 species